GUUGGUAGAGGGCCGGCCCGUGGACUCUUCGUCGGGCGACGCCGACGCAUCUCGUACUCUCGCUGGCUCCUCGGCGGCGCUGCCGCGCCACCACGCCCUCCUCGCCGCGCCGCCCAACCCGCCCACCUGUGGACCGGAGCCGAGGGUCACGUCCGGAGGCCGGCUGCCCUUCUUCCGACACCGAGCUAGGUCGCUAGCGCGACGCCGUUGCCUGCAGGCCGCCGCCACCGAGGUCCGCCCCGUUCGUGUUCUCGUCCGGAUCUGCUUAGUCCCGACAACAACCUACAAGUAACACAUCCAUCGUCCUCUCACUCCUUGUGCUUCCUCUCUUCAACGAUGUCUUGUUGUUAUUGAUUGGAGAAACGCCUGCUUGAAUUAGAAACAAAUAGCUCCAAGAUUCGUAGACAAAGAGCUUACGAGCUGCUUUUGAAGGUUCCAAGGACACCAACGUUUGGGAUCUCUCCGGAGAAGAAAUUAGUAGACAGGUUCCUGGGAGAUGCAUGGUAAGUGUGUGCCUUCUAAAAGUAAUUUAAUUUUGCUGCAACAGGGCAACUAAAAAUAAUUAAGGAGUGUUGCAAAAUGUUUGGCACAUGUAAAGAGAGAGAUAACAAAAAAAUAAAAAAACUAACUAAAAAUAAACAAGUGAAAAGGAGGUAUCUUACCAUGAUAACAUCAUUAGGCUGAAAAUUUCUUUCACAUACUUGCAUCUGAAAAAGUUUAUCUGCCAGCUCACACCUGUAUGAAUGUAGUAGUGUUAUGGAUGGGAAUUGGAUGGGGCAAUAGCCAAGCCAAAUGGAGCAAGAGCUUGCCUGAGGAAGUGAGGAUGGAUAGCAGGAUAUGGGUAUCAAAAAUACUGAUUUUCAGCUCCUACUAAUGAUGCUGAUUUGUUGCGGAUUAGAGAGUGAGAUAUACAUAUACUGUAUGUAUUUCCAAAUGUAUGAGCAGUCCUAAUGAGGUCGUGAGUACCCAAUUGAAUGGAACAGGGACAAAUCUUCGUUUCCCACCUUUACAUAUAUAUAUAUAUAUAGAAUUAUACUUAUUCAGGAAGGGAUCCAAUUGGGAAUCCCAUCUCAUCUCAACUCUAAUACAGCAGUAGUAGUACAUUACAGAAUGAGGCAGGCAGGAAUUAGAUCCUAGAGCAGGAUUCGCUUGUUAUUGUUGUUGCUUGGAUUUUCUUUCUUUUUUCUCUUGUCCGAGUCGUGGUCGUGGCUGCAAAUGAGAAAUACUAAGUUUUUAUGUAGUAUAGGAUAGGAUAGGAGGAGUAGAUACUGAGGCCGGCCGGCUGCGGUGCGGAAGAAGCAAUGUUUGGUCGUCCGGAACUGUAUGCAGAAAAUAAACAGACCAUAUCAAAGAUGCAGCUUGCAACGCAGUCAUGACUCGUGAAUAACUUAGCCAGUCCUAUAUCAAACAACAUUCAUGAAUCAAUGUAGGAAAAUUAUAUAUAUGAAAGUGAGGCCAUAUUUUACUUCUCUGCCAGCUCUAAUAAAAAUUAUUUAACCAGUUUUUUAUACUAAGGCAUACAUGCAUAUCUUUAGUGAUGUUGACUAAAGUUAAAUUUCAUAGCACUAGCAGGCAUUCACUCAACAAUCCAGAAGCACUCAAUAUGCUUGCACAGGAUACUCACACAAACAACUUUUAUUAGCUUUUUUCUUGUAUGACGAAGGAAGCAGGAAACAGACUUAAAUAUGUAAUUACUUGCAUAUUCAGAUGUCUGAAUACUGAGGAACAUGUAGAAACGGGGAAACACCAUUUCUCAAAUUCUCUUUUGCUUGUAAUCUUGAAUUGAUAGGUGCACAUAGUAGGAAACUUUUCAGUGCUGGUAAUAUUGUGUUGGUGAACAUAGUUGUCUAUUGGGGCAAACAUCAAUGUUUUUCAGAUAGCACAAGCAUGAUCUGUUUGUUAGGUUGAUCUCAGGCCCAGCCCAACGGCUGGGGCCUUUUCCCUCUGGAUCGCGCCCUGAUCGGGGGCGCCCAACCGAUCUAUGGUUGGUGGGCCCCCGACGCGCUGCGCCACAUAUAAAUAGGAGUAGGGGGCUACAGGCACACAACACGAAGUUCGUCGUGCGCCGCCAAACCCUACUCACAACCCUAGGUCGCCGAUCAACAGUGCGCAGUGGCGUCGGGAAGCACCACCGUGCCGUCACCCUUCUACUCCUACCCCGCCGUCGUCGGUCAGUGCCGGUGGAGGCCCGAAGGACGACGGGAUCUACUCCGUCACCGCGUCAACACCCUCGCCAUGGACCCCACUGGAUCUGCACCCGCCGCCAACGACGGUCGAAACCCUAUACUCUAGAUCUACCUGUUUCUAUUCCCUAUGUAAUAGAUAUGUAAUAGAUCUAGUGUGCAUAUUUACGUUACUGUCUAUGUUACUUAUGUAUCCCGAAUCCCUAUUCUUUCUAUUGCUAGUAGAUCCUGUAGAUCUAUCACUGUUGAUUUUGCAUCAAGCAUACAACCCACAAUAUUCUUUAAAUCAAAUUCAGAGCAUUGACUGCAACUGAUGAUAUUGAACAUAUUUGCUGACCAAUAACCUCAGAUAAAUUUGGUUUUGGUUGUGGAAGUAAUUCUUCACUUUGCACUUAACUACUAGUUACAUAGUAGUUGAUUUAUCUUGUAAUUCUUACAAUUGCUAUUAUUUAUCUUGCAUCAUUGUCUUCAUUAAUUUGUUGCAUCUCUAACAUCCUCUGUGUGAACAAGGAUCAUCACAAGGACAACCAAACAUUGGAAGAAUGGUCCAGGAGGACCAUGCCAUACUCAGUGAACCGCGCCAGGAUUUUUGGCUGAUGUUAACAUCCAGUCCUUUUUGUGAAGAAAGUACAAUACAAACUGACUAAAAAGGCGAACAACCUGUUUGGGGCAUCAUUCUUCGUGUGCAACAAGUAGAUAUAUAAUAAUCUAUUUUAUGAUUCGCUAGUUUAUACGUGAAUCCCCGAAUAAUAGUCAUCAUUCUUCAAUUGGAAGCUAUGUUGCACUAGAUGCAUGUGCAUCAAUUGAAUUGAGCAUGUGAAUUUUCCCUCCGACGCGCCUGAGUCGAGUACUGUAUUUCGUAAGAGGAAAAUCGAUUGAGCAUGUGAGUACCACAAAGCUUUUUUA